GGAAGUAAUCCGGCCGGAUGAGGAGACUGUCUUGAAAACAGUUAACCCCGAUGCAAAGGGGUUGUGGGUUCGAGUCCUGCUGCUUCCGCCA
rnacentral:tRNA from 2 species